rnacentral:rRNA from 1 species
AUUGAACGCUGGCGGCAUGCCUUACACAUGCAAGUCGAACGGUAACAGGUCUUCGGAUGCUGACGAGUGGCGAACGGGUGAGUAAUACAUCGGAACGUGCCUAGUAGUGGGGGAUAACUACUCGAAAGAGUGGCUAAUACCGCAUGAAAUCUACGGAUGAAAGCAGGGGAUCGCAAGACUUUGUGCUACUAGAGCGGCCGAUGGCAGAUUAGGUAGUUGGUGGGAUAAAAGCUUACCAAGCCGACGAUCUGUAGCUGGUCUGAGAGGACGAUCAGCCACACUGAGACUGAGACACGGCCCAGACUCCUACGGGAGGCAGCAGUGGGGAAUUUUGGACAAUGGGCGCAAGCCUGAUCCAGCAAUGCCGCGUGCAGGAUGAAGGCCUUCGGGUUGUAAACUGCUUUUGUACGGAACGAAAAGCCCUGGGUUAAUACCCUGGGGUCAUGACGGUACCGUAAGAAUAAGCACCGGCUAACUACGUGCCAGCCGCCGCCGUAA